rnacentral:rRNA from 4 species
UAUAUAAACGACUCUCGGCAACGGAUAUCUCGGCUCUCGCAUCGAUGAAGAACGCAGCAAAAUGCGAUACUUGGUGUGAAUUGCAGAAUCCCGUGAACCAUCGAGUUUUUGAACGCAAGUUGCGCCCGAAGCCAUUAGGCUGAGGGCACGUCUGCCUGGGCGUCUCAC